AGGAGUCUUUCCACCGCUUCAGAACAUGCCUGGUGACCUCAUUUAUGUGAACACUUUAGCCAGAACAAAACUCAGCAAGCCACUGAUGAAUCCAGUGAAAAGGAGAGACCUACUGAGCCUUUGGGAAUGUAUGAUGCCUUGGAUUGGUCCAGGGUUCUGAAGCCUAAGUCACUCAUUGUACGCAGGAAGCCGAAUCUGCUGUGUGGAUGAGGUCUCCUGCUGCUCUGGGACCGUGCUUCACUCCAAGCCUCAGAGGUGGACACCUUUGAUACCAGGGUGACCAAUCCCUGGUCCUGGUCCUACCUACAUGAGAGUGAUAGAGCUCUGGGCUGGGGUACAAUUGAGUGACACACUCUUCCAAGUCCUCUUCCUCCACCACAGAGCACAAUUUCAUAAAGGUUUUGGCUUGCAUUAUAGAGCUGCUAACUGAGCCCUCAAUAUGCUGGAAUCUGCAAAGGAAACAUGGCCGAUUCUAGGCAGUGAACCAGCUCCCUCUUUCCUUACCUGGCAUUCGCAUCACCACACUUUCCAGUGUGCUUCCCUGUGAGCUUUUCACCAUCCCUGUCCCUCAACCAAAAUUCAUCUCAACCAAAAUUCAAACUGAGUCAUGCAAACAUGUAUUUUUCAUUUCUGUCCAAGCAACUAUUUAUAGUCUCAUUAACAAAUUUUAAGUAAUAUAAGUAAAUGUUACCCAGAUAAUCUUAAAGCCUUCAUCUCACUCAAUAAACAUCUAAUGAGAAAUGAAAACU
rnacentral:lncRNA from 1 species